ensembl:snRNA U6 U6 spliceosomal RNA
UUGUUCUCUCUUCAGCAACAGAUAUACUAAAGCUGGAACAACAUAGACAACAAUAGCAUGGCUCCUAAGCAAGGAUGAAAUAUAAAUUUGUGAAGUGCUCCGUGUUUUU